UACGUAGGUGGCAAGCGUUGUCCGGAAUUAUUGGGCGUAAAGCGCGCGCAGGCGGUCCUUUAAGUCUGAUGUGAAAGCCCACGGCUCAACCGUGGAGGGUCAUUGGAAACUGGGGGACUUGGGUACAGAAGAGAGGAGUGGAAUUCCACGUGUAGCGGUGAAAUGCGUAGAGAUGUGGAGGAACACCAGUGGCGAAGGCGACUCUUUGGUCUGUAACUGACGCUGAGGCACGAAAGCGUGGGGAGCAAACAGG
rnacentral:rRNA from 1 species